AUUUUGUCACAUACAUUUCUUACCGAAGUUUCAUCACCUAGCAAUUUUUAAUGACCACUAUAAGAACACUUUCUGCCUUUUGAACCUGCUUUUCGUGCAUCUGAUGAAGGGGAUAAUCCCAUGCCAAGGGCAAAGCUGAAGGCUCCAGCGCAUCACACCCACCUCUGUUUCUCUGAACAGCGA
rnacentral:lncRNA from 12 species